GACAGAGGUCCCGAGCGUUAGGCGGAAUCACUGGGCUUAAAGCGUGUGUAGGCGGAUGCCUAAGUACCUUGUGAAAUCCCACGGCUCACCCGUGGAACUGCUCGGUAUACUGGGUGUCUUGAGCCACUUAGGGGCUACCGGAACAAAUGGUGGAGCGGUGAAAUGCGUAGAUAUCAUUUGGAACGCCAAUGGUGAAAACAGGUUGCUGGGAGUGUGCUGACACUGAGACACGAAAGCCAGGGGAGCGAACAGG
rnacentral:rRNA from 1 species